GAGAACUGACAAUCCGAUGGGUGGAAUGAAGGGGCAACGUCCGGAAACGCCCACACUGAUACUCCGAUUGGCUUUGAAGUGUGCAACUACUUCAUGGUCAAAAGCUCGGUGAAGUCGGCAGAGAGUGGCCGUAAGCGGAGCAAUCCGCACGAAACCUGCCCAGAGGUGGGCGGCGUCACCUAUAUGCCGGGUGUCAGAUAC
rfam:Bacteroides capillosus ATCC 29799 B_capillosus-2.0.1_Cont354, whole genome shotgun sequence.